rnacentral:rRNA from 1 species
GACGAACGCUGGCGGCGUGCUUAACACAUGCAAGUCGAACGGAAAGGCCCUGCUUUUGUGGGGUGCUCGAGUGGCGAACGGGUGAGUAACACGUGAGUAACCUGCCCUUGACUUUGGGAUAACUUCAGGAAACUGGGGCUAAUACUGGAUAGGAGCUCCUGCUGCAUGGUGGGGGUUGGAAAGUUUCGGCGGUUGGGGAUGGACUCGCGGCUUAUCAGCUUGUUGGUGGGGUAGUGGCUUACCAAGGCUUUGACGGGUAGCCGGCCUGAGAGGGUGACCGGCCACAUUGGGACUGAGAUACGGCCCAGACUCCUACGGGAGGCAGCAGUGGGGAAUAUUGCACAAUGGGCGGAAGCCUGAUGCAGCAACGCCGCGUGCGGGAUGACGGCCUUCGGGUUGUAAACCGCUUUCGCCUGUGACGAAGCGUGAGUGACGGUAAUGGGUAAAGAAGCACCGGCUAACUACGUGCCAGCAGCCGCGGUGAUACGUAGGGUGCGAGCGUUGUCCGGAUUUAUUGGGCGUAAAGGGCUCGUAGGUGGUUGAUCGCGUCGGAAGUGUAAUCUUGGGGCUUAACCCUGAGCGUGCUUUCGAUACGGGUUGACUUGAGGAAGGUAGGGGAGAAUGGAAUUCCUGGUGGAGCGGUGGAAUGCGCAGAUAUCAGGAGGAACACCAGUGGCGAAGGCGGUUCUCUGGGCCUUUCCUGACGCUGAGGAGCGAAAGCGUGGGGAGCGAACAGGCUUAGAUACCCUGGUAGUCCACGCUGUAAACGGUGGGUACUAGGUGUGGGGUCCAUUCCACGGGUUCCGUGCCGUAGCUAACGCUUUAAGUACCCCGCCUGGGGAGUACGGCCGCAAGGCUAAAACUCAAAGGAAUUGACGGGGCCCCGCACAAGCGGCGGAGCAUGCGGAUUAGUUCGAUGCAACGCGUAGAACCUUACCUGGGUUUGACAUGGAUCGGGAGCGCUCAGAGAUGGGUGUGCCUCUUUUGGGGUCGGUUCACAGGUGGUGCAUGGCUGUCGUCAGCUCGUGUCGUGAGAUGUUGGGUUAAGUCCCGCAACGAGCGCAACCCUUGUUCACUGUUGCCAGCACGUUAUGGUGGGGACUCAGUGGAGACCGCCGGGGUCAACUCGGAGGAAGGUGGGGAUGACGUCAAGUCAUCAUGCCCCUUAUGUCCAGGGCUUCACGCAUGCUACAAUGGCUGGUACAGAGAGUGGCGAGCCUGUGAGGGUGAGCGAAUCUCGGAAAGCCGGUCUCAGUUCGGAUUGGGGUCUGCAACUCGACCUCAUGAAGUCGGAGUCGCUAGUAAUCGCAGAUCAGCAACGCUGCGGUGAAUACGUUCCCGGGGCU